CAUUUCCUAUUCUUUGACAUUUCAUGUCUGUCAGCACAAGUUGAUAAAAGUAUGGCAACUGGCGGAAACAUUGAAAUUUCGAGUUAUUUUUACUCAAAGGCAGCCACGAUUACAUUUGUGGGUAAGGGAAUGGCGGGUAUCUGUUACAACCCAUCCAACUAUAGUUAUGAUGGACAAAGGUGAGCUUUAGUUUCGAGUCAUCCAAGUCGGUCCCAUACUUCCACUUUCAGGUCAAUCCUACUACUCAUUCUAGUGUUGUUGGGGGAUGGUUAUCAGGCUCAUUCUAAAAGAAUAUGUUAUUUACUGACAUUGGGUUUGUGUAACUUGCAAAUGGAGACAGGGUUGUGUGUUUCAAUUGAAGGGAAUUGAUUUAGUUUUGGGAAUAGCUUGGUUGAAUAAUAUAGAGGAGGGGUUGUUUUAACUCCAAAAAAAUGUCAAUGAGUUGCAUUCAUAAAGAAGAAAGACUUUGUCCGAGAAGUAAUUCUUCCUUGUUGCACAUUUUAAUACAGAAAGAUGCACAUGGGGAAAAUUUAGUGGAAAAUUGGCCACCUCUUAUCUAAAAUUCUGCAGUUUAUGGUUCCGUGGAAAGCUCAGUUUGCUGUUGAAGCAACGUUGAUAGAUAAAAGUGAUAGGGCAGUAUCAAUUUCUCUAGGGCAGUUAUUGAUGAGCUAAUUGGGGAAAUUCAGGGGAAAUAUUGUUGGGUCUAAUAUAUAAGAGAGGGACCAUCCAGCGCAAGGGUUUGCGAAUUCUUCAAUUUUCAAUUUCAUUGCAACACUCGUUAUGCCGUUCCACUCACUUGGAGGGACUCCUCUUAAUUAGUUGGAUGUUUAGUGGGUUCUAUAGUGCUAUUAUCAUUUUCCUCUUCUGCACAAAAACAUGGGAUCACCAAGCAUUCAAUGAUGAUACUGUUGGACAUGUUUCUGUUGUGAAAGGCUUAAUUGGUGGCACAAGACUUGCUGGGUUUGUGACAGGAUUAAUGCUAAGGGAGCAUUUUCAAACACUUCACAGAUGAGGAGGAUAAAAACUACAACCUUGAGGACAAGGCUGCUUUUGAAGGGGAUGGCAAUGAUAUUAAUCCACCAACAGGUUUGGGACGAGAGAAGCAAAGGCCUAGUGUUUUGAAAGUGUAUAUCAGAAGAAAUUCUAGACGAGUUGGAGCUGGUAUAGCUGACUUGACAGAAGCUUCUAGAAGAGAUGAAUCAGUUAGAGGAAAUGGUGGGGACUCAAGUGGAGAAGGAGAGAAUACAGCUGUUACCAUGCAAUACAUACGGGAAGGUGGAAAAACUGUAAAAAAAGGAGAGUAUCAGCUAAAGAGGGCAUUCAUUAUCUUGUAUCUUCGGCUCUUAGCUGGGCUAACAGCUUCCUCUGUUAGCUCUUUGGAGAUGGAUAUUCUCUGUUAGUGCAAUUGGAGUGUAAUUCUUGUAUUCGACAAUUCUGCUAGGCUAGGAGCUUGUCUCCUGGAUUUGUUAUUCUUAUCUUUCCCUAUUACCUUGAAUUGUUGUUGUUGGGAUCUUGUAUUCAGUUUGCUGAGAAGUAAUACAAGUUUUGUUGAUUUUGCUCAUUAGUAUUCUUCUCCUGAUUUUAGUGUUUCUCUUAUCAUUUUGACAAUUUCUGCUGAUAUUGCUUAUUAAUGUUCCUAACUCCAUCAAAUUGGUCUGACCUGCUAAAUCCCCA
rnacentral:misc_RNA from 1 species